GAGGGUAUAGCUCAGUGACAGGGUGAGUGCUUAGCAUGCAUGAGGUCCUGGGUUCACUCUCCAGUACCUUCA
rnacentral:tRNA from 1 species